UACGUAGGAGGCGAACGUUAUCCGGAUUUACUGGGCGUAAAGGGAGCGUAGGCGGUUGUUUAAGUCGGGUGUGAAAUCUCUCAACUCAAUUGAGAGCGGCCAUCCGAUACUGGGCAACUCGAGGGCGGCAGAAGGAAACGGAAUUCCGAGUGUAGCGGUGAAAUGCGUUGAUAUUCGGAAGAACACCAGUGGCGAAGGCGGUUUCCUAGGCUGUUCCUGACGCUGUGGCUCGAAAGCGUGGGGAGCGAAGCGGAUUAGAUACCCGCGUAGUCCACGCCCUAAACGGUGAACACUAGAUAUGGGGAGUAUCGACCCUUCUCGUGUCGAAGCUAACGCUUUAAGUGUUCCGCCUGGGGAGUACGGCCGCAAGGCUAAA
rnacentral:rRNA from 1 species